UCCUUGCGGGUGCUUACCAUGCGAGUCGAACGAUGAUCCCAGCUUGCUGGGGGAUUAGUGGCGAACGGGUGAGUAACACGUGAGUAACCUGCCCUUGACUCUGGGAUAAGCCUGGGAAACUGGGUCUAAUACCGGAUAUGACUCCUCAUCGCAUGGUGGGGGGUGGAAAGCUUUUGUGGUUUUGGAUGGACUCGCGGCCUAUCAGCUUGUUGGUGGGGUAAUGGCCUACCAAGGCGACGACGGGUAGCCGGCCUGAGAGGGUGACCGGCCACACUGGGACUGAGACACGGCCCAGACUCCUACGGGAGGCAGCAGUGGGGAAUAUUGCACAAUGGGCGCAAGCCUGAUGCAGCGACGCCGCGUGAGGGAUGACGGCCUUCGGGUUGUAAACCUCUUUCAGUAGGGAAGAAGCGUAAGUGACGGUACCUGCAGAAGAAGCGCCGGCUAACUACGUGCCAGCAGCCGCGGUAAUACGUAGGGCGCAAGCGUUAUCCGGAAUUAUUGGGCGUAAAGAGCUCGUAGGCGGUUUGUCGCGUCUGCUGUGAAAGACCGGGGCUCAACUCCGGUUCUGCAGUGGGUACGGGCAGACUAGAGUGCAGUAGGGGAGACUGGAAUUCCUGGUGUAGCGGUGAAAUGCGCAGAUAUCAGGAGGAACACCGAUGGCGAAGGCAGGUCUCUGGGCUGUAACUGACGCUGAGGAGCGAAAGCAUGGGGAGCGAACAGGAUUAGAUACCCUGGUAGUCCAUGCCGUAAACGUUGGGCACUAGGUGUGGGGGACAUUCCACGUUUUCCGCGCCGUAGCUAACGCAUUAAGUGCCCCGCCUGGGGAGUACGGCCGCAAGGCUAAAACUCAAAGGAAUUGACGGGGGCCCGCACAAGCGGCGGAGCAUGCGGAUUAAUUCGAUGCAACGCGAAGAACCUUACCAAGGCUUGACAUGAACCGGAAAGACCUGGAAACAGGUGCCCCGCUUGCGGUCGGUUUACAGGUGGUGCAUGGUUG
rnacentral:rRNA from 1 species